CGGGUGAGUAACGCGUGAGGAACCUGCCUCAAAGAGGGGGACAACAAUUGGAAACGACUGCUAAUACCGCAUAAGCCCACGGCUCGGCAUCGAGCAGAGGGAAAAGGAGUGAUCCGCUUUGAGAUGGCCUCGCGUCCGAUUAGCUGGUUGGUGAGGUAACGGCCCACCAAGGCGACGAUCGGUAGCCGGACUGAGAGGUUGAACGGCCACAUUGGGACUGAGACACGGCCCAG
rnacentral:rRNA from 1 species